rnacentral:rRNA from 1 species
CAGUCGCCACGGGAAUACGAAGGGUGCAAGCGUUACUCGGAAUUACUGGGCGUAAAGCGUGCGUAGGUGGUGGUUUAAGUCCGUUGUGAAAGCCCUGGGCUCAACCUGGGAAUUGCAGUGGAUACUGGGUCACUAGAGUGUGGUAGAGGAUAGUGGAAUUUCCGGUGUAGCAGUGAAAUGCGUAGAGAUCGGAAGGAACAUCUGUGGCGAAGGCGACUAUCUGGGCCAACACUGACACUGAGGCACGAAAGCGUGGGGAGCAAACAGGAUUAGAUACCCUUGUAGUCCCUGUCUCUUAUAC